rnacentral:rRNA from 1 species
AGAUUGAACGCUGGCGGCAGGCCUAACACAUGCAAGUCGAGCGGUAGAGAGGUGCUUGCACCUCUUGAGAGCGGCGGACGGGUGAGUAAAGCCUAGGAAUCUGCCUGGUAGUGGGGGAUAACGCUCGGAAACGGACGCUAAUACCGCAUACGUCCUACGGGAGAAAGCAGGGGACCUUCGGGCCUUGCGCUAUCAGAUGAGCCUAGGUCGAUUAGCUAGUUGGUGAGGUAAUGGCUCACCAAGGCGACGAUCCGUAACUGGUCUGAGAGGAUGAUCAGUCACACUGGAACUGAGACACGGUCCAGACUCCUACGGGAGCAGCAGUGGGGAAUAUUGGACAAUGGGCGAAAGCCUGAUCCAGCCAUGCCGCGUGUGUGAAGAAGGUCUUCGGAUUGUAAAGCACUUUAAGUUGGAGAAGGCAAUUAACCUAAUACGUUAGUGUUUGACGUUACGACAGAAUAAGCACCGGCUAACUCUGUGCCAGCAACG